rnacentral:lncRNA from 1 species
ACACGGCGAGAGACUGAAAGAAAAGCAGCAAAGCCCUGGGUAAUCAAGGCCCUAAACGGAAAGUGUCAGGAUCUUGGGGAUCGUAUUGUAUAAAAUGGAUGAAAACAGAGCUAUUGGGUUUGAAGCACUCCUGAACCCUCUCAUGGAACCCUAUGUCUUCCUGGAGUCUACAGAGCUAUUGGGUUUGAAGCACUCCUGAACCGUCUAGUAGAACCCUAUGUCUUCCUGGAGUCUACAGAGCUAUUGGGUUUGAAGCACUCCUGAACCGUCUAGUAGAACCCUAUGUCUUCCUGGAGUUUACAGAAAAAGAGACUCAGGGAUUUUCCCAAAGCACACUGCAAGUUAGGGGCAGGAAUGACAGCCCAGACCUUCUGGUUUCCAGUCCAGGGCUCAACUGCCUAAACAGUGGCAUCU